rnacentral:lncRNA from 1 species
UGCUCCCCCACCCCACUUGUGAUUCCGUCACCGGAAUUUCUUCUCAAGUGGUCUCUGAUCCAGAGAGACACACCCAGCGGCAGCCGUUGACUCCCUCCACCCUUGCUUCCCUCUCAACCAUCUCACCUCCAUCUGUCCAGUGGAGCCAGAUGUCCCACCUUCUUGGGAGAAAUUAAUUGAGGCUCAUUUCCAGGACAGAGGGGCAAGCUGGGUCUGAGGAGCCAAGCAGAAAAACUUCCCAAAAUCACUGGGUGGGGAGGGGUCAGAGACUUACUGCUGCCCCAGCUGUUCUGACUCUGCCCCCAGCUUUUGGCCCCACCCUUUUAAAGCACCUUCAGAGGUUCCCAAUGGUGACAGUAAACAAGUCUCCACUGUCCUGGCCAUCUCUGCUGUGUUCACCCUACUCCUGAUCUUUCUGGCUGCUCAGGGACUGACAGCCAAGAUGUGAGGCUGUGAUGAGCAGGAACAGGGAGGCCUGGAGCCCCCAGCCAUUGUCAUCACUUCCCUGAUCUGCCUAAAUUCUGCCCAGCAGUCCGUGAAAAUGGUUUGCUGAUGACAUAUGUAAGGACUUUAACUCCCCUCAAGCAAUCUGCUCAUCUCAAAGGACAGAUUUGCAAUGAUCAAGAGGCGUCCUGUGAAUGCAGUUUGCAAAGGACUUAGGCACACAGCAUCUCCUUUGUUCUCACCACAAGGCUGCCGGGUGUGCAGAUGUGAGGAUUAUUUCAAUGGUGAAGAAGCAUCCUGAGAGGUUACGUAGUUCAACUAAUGUCACACCAAGAGCAGGAGAGCAUCUGGGCAUUUGGACAUGGAAGGUGUGGGGCACAAGCAUCUCAUGGCCAGGGAACGGGGGAGGAGCAUCUCAGAGCUGCAUCAGAGUUCAUGCUGGUCCUAGGACAAGAGUCAAGCACACCCUGCUUUCACCAGCUGCUGGUAGCUUUCACUCAGGAGUGUACAGUGGAGUUUUCCAGAGACUACAUAAUGUGAUACCAGGAUAGAAUGAAUGAACACAGAGCAGACCUGAGAAUCCAG